AUGUGAAAAAAAGGUUGCAAAAUUAAGCCCAUUGAGAGAUCCCCAAGGGUUUGCAGCUCUAUCAAAAAAAAACUAACUUUGUGGGACCUAAAAGACAAUGCACAUUUAGAGUUAUUUCACGCUUUAUUUAUAUUAUGUACAUAAUUCCACCUAUGUUCUUUCAUGGUUUUGACACCUUCAGUGAGAAUCUACAAUGUAAAUGGCCAUGAAAAGAAAGAAAAUGUAUCGUUUCCAAACUUUUGGUCUGUACUGUAUGAGUAAAGCCUGUUAUUAACAGAUCUUUGUAAUACUAUAUGAGGUGGCUGACAUAUGAAAAACACAGGGAGGCAAGGAUGAUGACUUUACCAUCCACCCAUAUGCAUAAUGUUUAUAUUAAUGCACAUUUCUCAGCAUGUGGCUUCCACCUCCUGGCUGGGUGUAUGACUCAAGCAGACCUGACUGGAAUUGCUGAGGCACCACUUCAUUUAUUUUCACACCAUCAACUGGAAGGCGACUCACACUCGUCCAUCCCUCAUGGAAUUGGGCGAGAGUUCUUUUGUCCCAAUGCUUCUGUGUUGUUGGAUGACUGUAAUUUCCAGUUGUUAUGAUUAUUUAUUUGACGCAAGAUGGCAGCUGUCAUUAAAUUACUUGCGAGACGAGUGAUUACAUUCUCUAAAAGACGUAUUUUGCAUAGAAACGUAAUCACAGGUGAGCGAGAGUGCUGUGGGGUGUAAAUUUGCCUUUAUUUCUAUUAUGAAAAGUGUCGGUUAUCAUUCAAGAACUAUGACUCAGCUAUGUUGCCAGAAGGAAGUGAUUUGGGUCGGUUCUCAAAUUCCAAACUAUUUAAAGUGACACAACGUCAACAAAAUAUUGCACAAAAAAAUAUUAAUUAAAAUGUGCUAACCCUAGGUGUGCCCGAACUGCGUGAUUAAGCUGCCGAACAGGCCAGGCUGAAAAAAAAAACACGUGGAAUCUCACAAUACCUCGUCAACUGUCAACUUCAGCGAGCCGGAUGGAGGAGGUGGAUCGUUCGCGAACGACCCAUUACAGCAGCCACAACAUUAGAUGGAACAGACACAAAGAUACAAAAGAGUUGCAGCUUUCGUUGAGUAGAACUGCACAAGAGGAGCCGAAUAAUAAAACCUUACGAUGACGUAAUGCAGUUCUACACCAAUGAAAAGCGUGCAUUCGUUAGAUUUGGCAGUGAAUCGUACCGUGGAAGUGCUCCCUAUGUUGUGGCCCCUAAUUGAAUAUUACAUACAGAAAAUGGAUGGAUGGAUGACAUUAAUGCACGAAGGAGUCAAGAUUGUAUACUGGACGUUGAGCCAGCCGAAACACACGUAAUUAACUAUUACAAAGUUCAAACAAAAAUAAUAAUACAAUUAAUUCUGUACUGUAUAAUUACGUAGUAUUUAGAUGUAUUACCCUUGUGUCAUGUCAGUUGGCAAAAUGUGUUUAAUUGCACAUGAUAAGGCCGGUGGGUGUGGGACACUUGAAAUCUGACGGAAAUCUGACAGCUUGUUAAUGCGGACGCAAGCUAACAUGUUCAAAACAAGACAACGGCGCCAUGGCUCCCACUACUUACCAAGGAAUGAGAUUGAAGUUUAUUUGGCGGAGUAAAAUGGCUGCGACUGCUCUGUGGGAUCUGAUGCAGAGUGACGUCAUGACGUAGCCGGACAGGAAGGGUGUUUGGGGGCGUGGUGGCGUGAGAGUGCACUUCCUCACUUCCACUUAGCAUUGUUAGUGCGUAAGUGCGUUGACACUGAGAAGUGCGAUAGAAGACAAUACACCGCCAGUACACUGAUGAACGUGCUCUAAAUAGUUAAGUGCGCUUCGAUGGACUCUAACCACCCUUGAUCAUCGCCAUCUUGGCAACGUAACGGGAGAGCAGGGACUAACUCUAGCGUUGUUUUCUUCUGUGGAAGAUGGAAUUAUAUAUUCAAAUUUUGUUCAGUUAGGAUAAAACCUGUGGUUUUCUAACUACAUUUUUGGUAGUAUUCUCAUCAUUAUGGUGGUUUCGUGAAUAUUUUUGUAUUAU